UAGGGAAUCUUCCACAAUGGGCGCAAGCCUGAUGGAGCAACACCGCGUGAGUGAAGAAGGGUUUCGGCUCGUAAAGCUCUGUUGUUAAAGAAGAACACGUAUGAGAGUAACUGUUCAUACGUUGACGGUAUUUAACCAGAAAGUCAUGGCUAACUACGUGCCAG
rnacentral:rRNA from 1 species